rnacentral:misc_RNA from 1 species
AUGCUCUGCAUAUGCAAGCAUAGAGAUUGCUGGGGAAGCUACUGGUUGUUUGACAUGGUAUGGCGAAUUAAUGGACACUGCAGGUCAUAUGAAAGAGGGAUAUGAUAUCAAUGUCCGUGUUGACGCACUUGAAUUAGAGAUUGCACGAGAAUCAAAUGGUUUUCUGGAAAGCAAGAAUAUGUUGGAUGCUUUAAUAGCAUCUGCUGUUUCAGCCUGGUUUGUCAUCAUUUUAUUUGCAUAUUUGUGGCUGAAGAAGAAGAGAAAAGGAGUGAGGAACCACAGCAAUGAAAGAUUGCUUGAUGCAUGCUACAAGGAUACCUUGGUGAAAAAUCAAGUUGAAGGUAGCAUGAGUCAUCCAGACAUUGCAUUUUUUAAUCUCAGGACAAUACUUGUUGCGACCAACAAUUUUUGUCAGGCUAAUAAGGUUGGAGAAGGUGGUUUUGGCUUGGUUUACAAGGGUCAACUCUCUAACGGACAAGAAAUCGCAGUGAAACGGCUAUCUAAAAAUUCAAGUCAAGGAGUAGAAGAAUUUAAAAAUGAAGUUAUGUUGAUUGCAAAGCUUCAGCACAGGAAUCUUGUGAAACUUCUAGGUUGCUGCAUUCAGAAAAAAGAACAGAUGCUAAUAUAUGAGUACUUGCCAAACAAAAGUUUGGACUCAAUCCUUUUUGAUAAAAAAAGAAGAGUUUUGGAUUGGGGAAGGCGCUUCACUAUAAUUAUUGGGAUUGCUCGUGGGAUCUUAUAUCUUCAUCAAGACUCGAGACUAAGAAUCAUCCAUAGAGAUUUAAAAAGUAGCAACAUUUUAUUGGAUGAUGAGAUGAAUCCAAAAAUUUCAG